rnacentral:rRNA from 1 species
AUUGAACGCUGGCGGAAUGCUUUACACAUGCAAGUCGAACGGCAGCACGGACUUCGGUCUGGUGGCGAGUGGCGAACGGGUGAGUAAUACAUCGGAACGUGCCCAGUCGUGGGGGAUAACGUAGCGAAAGCUACGCUAAUACCGCAUACGAUCUAAGGAUGAAAGCGGGGGAUCGCAAGACCUCGCGCGAUUGGAGCGGCCGAUGGCAGAUUAGGUAGUUGGUGGGGUAAAGGCUCACCAAGCCGACGAUCUGUAGCUGGUCUGAGAGGACGACCAGCCACACUGGGACUGGGACACGGCCCAGACUCCUACGGGAGGCAGCAGUGGGGAAUUUUGGACAAUGGGCGCAAGCCUGAUCCAGCCAUUCCGCGUGCAGGAUGAAGGCCUUCGGGUUGUAAACUGCUUUUGUACGGAACGAAAAGGCUCUGGUAAAUACCCGGGGCUCAUGACGGUACCGUAAGAAUAAGCACCGGCUAACUACGUGCCAGCAGCCGCGGAAACAC